CUAAGCUCUACCUCCUCCUCCCUCAACGUCACUCUCUCACCGGCUCAUUGCUCUCGCACCCAAGCUCUCUCCCUCUCUCGGCUCCGGUCUUUCUCACUAUCUCCGGUGUCGCACUCAACUCGUCGUCGCUCUCUCGGCUCAGGUCUCUUUCAUGGUCUCCGGUCUCACACUCAGUCGCGCUCGCGCGCCUUCCCUGCCCUCGUCAUUACCGGCGGCAGAAGCAGCAGGUCCCGGGACUGGUCGUCAUCGUUGCUCCCUGUCUCGUCACCGUCUUGCAGUUAGUCCUGCGCCUUCGUUGUGCUCGUCGUUGCCAGAGGCAGAAGCAGCAGGUCCCGGGGCUUCCUUCUAGCCGUCAGCUUCCUCCUCGCCAUCAGCUUCCUCGUCGCCGUCAACUUCCUCCCCGCCGUCAGCUUCUUCCGCGCAACCAGAAGCUGGUCCCAAUUUGGCCAUAAUUUCAAUCCAACAAACUCCUCUGUUGCACCAAUGGCUUUCAAUGAUAAUCAGGCCCAACAGCACGAUGAGGAAGGUGUUCCAGAAUACAGGCUCAGAGUAGCUGCACAACGUGGGUAAUGAGCGACACUUGGCCUUUUGAUAGUGUGCGAUAUUUUGAGCAAUGUCAGUCAAUCCACCAUGUGUACGGUCAAGGAAGAAUUAAGUCUAGGGAAAUAUAAGGAGGUACUCAGUAAUCUUCUAUGCUCUGUCCUGAAGUUUAUAAAUCAACAUGUGAACAUGUCCAAGCUCAAUUCCCUGAUUGGAUUCUUCAUAUUCUUCUGGAUUAUAUUGACUGUUGCUGUGAUGCUUGUUGUGGGUGCGAAAUUCAAUAGCACCCAUGCUGUUUUAACCCUCAUCUGGUUUAUUCUGAUUCUCCAAGGACCAUUUGGUGUAAUCUUUAGGAUCAACCUUGUACUAGGAUUAUUAGUGACAUGGACGUCCCCCAAAAAAAAGCAACAAAUGGGAGGAAAAAGCUGUAGCCAGAGAAAGAAUCCAGGAGUUACCUUGAGCUGUAUCUGCUAAAUAAAUGUGUCUUGUGUCUGCAUCUUUGUAAUUACUAAUUAUUUGUUACUUGUUAUGUGUCUGCGUCUUUGUAAUUAUUUGUUACUUGUUAUUGCCUAAAAAUUGAAUGCCAA